rnacentral:rRNA from 1 species
UUAAAGGGCUGCAGUAUAUUGACUGUACAAAGGUAGCAUAAUCAUUAGUCAUUUAAUUGAUGACUUGUAUGAAGGAUUGGAUGAAAUAUAAACUGUCUCUUAAUUAUAUUUAGAAUUUAAUUUUUUAAUUAAAAAGUUAAAAUAAAUUAGAAAGACGAGAAGACCCUAUAGAGUUUUAUAAAUAAAAUUAAUUGAGAUUAUUUAUAAAAUUAAAAUUAAGAUUAAUUUAUUUAUUUUGUUGGGGUGACAGAAAAAUAUAAAAAACUUUUUAUAUAUAUAUUUAAAACGUUGAUAAGUGGUUAAAUGAUCCAAUAUUAUUGAUUAUAAGAAAAAAUUACCUUAGGGAUAACAGCGUAAUUUUUUUUUUUAGUUCAUAUAAAAAAAAAAGUUUGCGACCUCGAUGUUGGAUUAAGAUAAAAUUUAAAUGUAGAAG